rnacentral:misc_RNA from 1 species
CCAAACUUGGUCAUUUAGAGGAAGUAAAAGUCGUAACAAGGUCUCCGUUGGUGAACCAGCGGAGGGAUCAUUAAAGAGUUUAUAACUCCCAAACCCCAUGUGAACAUACCUAACGUUGCCUCGGCGGGUCGUACCUACCCUGUAUUGCACUUACCUGUAAGUGCCUACCCGGUAGGCACGGGUAAGCCCGCCGGCGCCCCAUUAAACUCUGUUUAAUUACUGGAUAUCUGAAUUAUAACUAAAUAAGUUAAAACUUUCAACAACGGAUCUCUUGGUUCUGGCAUCGAUGAAGAACGCAGC